GACGAACGCUGGCGGCGUGCUUAACACAUGCAAGUCGAACGAGAGGACAAGAGAAGCUUGCUUCUUUUGGAAUCGAGUGGCAAACGGGUGAGUAACACGUAAACAACCUGCCUUCAGGAUGGGGACAACAGACGGAAACGACUGCUAAUACCGAAUACGCUUGGGAGACCGCAUGAUCUUCCAAGGAAAGGGUGGCCUCUACUUGUAAGCUAUCGCCUGAAGAGGGGUUUGCGUCUGAUUAGGCAGUUGGUGAGGUAACGGCCCACCAAACCUACGAUCAGUAGCCGGUCUGAGAGGAUGAACGGCCACACUGGAACUGAGACACGGUCCAGACUCCUACGGAGGCAGCAGUGGGGAAUCUUCCGCAAUGGGCGAAAGCCUGACGGAGCAACGCCGCGUGAGUGAUGACGGCCUUC
rnacentral:rRNA from 1 species